CUGGCCUGGAUGUGAGGUAUCCAACAAGCCCAUCACGACCAGCAACAUGGCUCAGUUUUGGUAGGAAUGUUUGUAAGGUGGCAGUGCCUAGAGCUGUCAAGGAAGGCACGGCCGCUCAUCACAUGCAGCUAAAAGGACGACACCAGGCUGCAUACACUGAGAGCCAGUUACCUCCUGGCCUCACGGCCUGAAUCAUGAAUUCUGGAAGAAUUUCCUCCAUUCAGGGAAUCUGAACAGAAGAUAAAUAGAAGCUGGAGGAAAAAUGCCGAGAUGAUAGAGUAGGUGGAGGAGCUUUUCUGUGCGGCCAAUGUACUUCAAUAUGCUCCUCAUCUCAGCUCUG
rnacentral:lncRNA from 1 species